rnacentral:lncRNA from 1 species
GGCCGCAGUGUGCCGUCUAUCGGUUUUUCUCUGCUUUGUCAAAAUGUUUUCAUUCUUCCCGCAUUGACUGGCGCUUUCCACAGUUUCCCACAUUGCGUUUCUCGGUUCACGCCCUCGCUUGCGGCGACUCGAGUUCGCCUCCACAAGCGAGGGAGGCGAACUCGAGUCGCCGCAGACAGCCCGCCCAGCCAGUGAGGCCGCCAGGGCGGGUGAACCACAAACGAAAAACUGAGGCAGAGCAGGAGAGAGGAAAGAGAAGCGAGAGAGGCACUCAGAGGGGAAAGGUGAAGGCUACACUCUUGCACACACCCAGAAGGCGAAGGGAAAGGGGACCAGAGAAAAAGGCACAGAGAGGCGUCCGCAUAGAGUGAGAGCGCACAAGUUGGCGACGGCGGUUCACUGUCGAGGUCGCGAUGCGUCCCCUUUUUUGCCUCCACCACAAAUUGACUUCAAACUCUUCGCCCCUGAGAAAUACUGGAAUCUCCAGGCGUGGGAGAGAUCCACGUCGAGCCUUCCGUGCGUGAGCACGGUCGGUGCGCACGAGAGACGACGGCUUGUCUCGCGUCUUUCCGCAGCAACGGGUGCUCCAGUUUCCCUCCUCGUCUCCCAUCUGCGCCUCGGUGGCUUCGGUACUGGUUUCCGUUUUCAUUUCUCCUUCGCGUGGUACACUCCCUUGGCUCCGUCUUGUAUCCGUAGCGCGCUGCCAUCAGCCACUUGCCCCCGAACAUGGCGCGUGCGCGUCACUCCGCUGCCGUUCUCUUUCGGACAGUGUAACUGCCCGCAACUGUGCCUCCAAGGAGUUCUUCCUGUGUUCGUGUAUGUACACAGCAUCGCUUUUUUCCAAACAAAGAUGAGGGGAAUUCUUCACAACUCGGGAAUGUGUUUCCCACAUACAGUAAACAGCUACGUACAUCCUCUGUCAGGACACGUUCACUGACACUGCUGCGUGUGCGAAUGCUGACACACUCACGUUCCUGAAACGUCUGCAUCCACAUUUGGGGUUCCGGGUUUGAUUUGAGUGGAAACUGACAGAGAGGUGUGCUGAUAGUGCUCACGCAGGACAAAAACGGCGAAGCCUUUCGUGUUAAAUUGUGGGCACGACGCAACUAAUCGUGUCCUGGUGUGCAAGGGGUAAGCGUCGGAUCUGUAUUUCCCGUUUACGUCUGUGGCCAACUGUCGGACGGAAUCCAGCU